AAGAGAUAAGGGAGAAGCAGAGGUGUUGGUACAAAGCACAAUGGUAUGUAUUAUAUAUUCAUUCUUGUAUUGAACUUUGAGCUCUGUUACUUGUACGAUCUUUUUGACAGUGCCUUGCACCUUAGCACUUGGUUUGAACUUCAUAAAUUCAACAAUUAUGCUACAUGUCUAUAUUUUUUCACAUCAUUUUUGACAUUGUGCCAUGUAGUGACACAUGGUUGGAUAGUUCAAAAACACAGUUAUUGCCCAACGCUUUUUGAAUUCCAACAGAGCGUACACGAACAUCUAAACCAAAGGAUGUACACUUAGCAUUAAUUUAAAUUCAAAAUAAAGGGCUGAGGUGCAUGCCAUCUCAACAUCCAUCAAACUUUCUGUCUGUACAAGUAACUUAAUUCUUGAACUUUUAAGUUUGUAUCUAAUUCGUGUAGGUUAUAAUUAAAACUAAAAAAGUUAUUUAUAUUGAAUUGAAAAAUAUAGAGACAUUUGUUAAUACAAUUGACGAUGGAUUUUGUGUAGAGCAAGAGCAAGUGGAUACCAGCACAGCAGCUUAUUAUUCACAAAGAGAAAGAAGGGUGGAUAUCGACUCAUCCUCCAGGCUGCAUAAAGUUCUCUCUCUCACUCUCAAUAUGUUGAUCAUUACUUUUCCUUUAUCUAAUGAAGUAAAUAAGGUUAUCCCAUCUCUAACAAUAUAGAUGAGGUGGUUUAUGUAAAUGCUUAUUCAUACAAUGAUAAACAAUCUGUAAAUUUCAUUGAAGACCAUGAGCAA
rnacentral:lncRNA from 1 species